rnacentral:rRNA from 1 species
CCAGACUCCUACGGGAGGCAGCAGUGAGGAAUAUUGGGCAAUGGGCGCAAGCCUGACCCAGCAACGCCGCGUGAAGGAAGAAGGCUUUCGGGCUGUAAACUUCUUUUAUGAGGGACGAAGGAAGUGACGGUACCUCAUGAAUAAGCCACGGCUAACUACGUGCCAGCAGCCGCGGUAAUACGUAGGUGGCGAGCGUUAUCCGGAUUUACUGGGUGUAAAGGGCGUGUAGGCGGGAUUGCAAGUCAGAUGUGAAAACUAUGGGCUCAACCCAUAGCCUGCAUUUGAAACUGUAGUUCUUGAGUGCUGGAGAGGCAAUCGGAAUUCCGUGUGUAGCGGUGAAAUGCGUAGAUAUUAGGAAGAACACCAGUGGCGAAGGCGGCUUUCUGGACUGAAACUGACGCUGAGGCUCGAAAGCGUGGGGAGCGAACAGGAUUAGAUACCCCCGUA